rnacentral:rRNA from 1 species
UUGAGACAGGUGGUGGCAUGGUUGUCGUCAGCUCGUGUCGUGAGAUGUUGGGUUAAGUCCGCAACGAGCGCAACCCUUGUGUUUAGUUGCAAACAGGUCAAGCUGUGCACUCUAGACAGACUGCCGUGGACAACACGGAGGAAGGGUGGGGAGUGACGUCAAAUCAUCAUGCCCCUUAUGAUCUGGGCUACACACGUGCUACAAUGGCCGGUACAACGGGCAGCGAAGGAGCGAUCCGGAGCGAAAUCCUAAAAAGCCGGUCCCAGUUCGGAUUGCAGGCUGAAACUCGCCUACAUGAAGUUGGAGUUGCUAGUAAUCGCGAAUCAGAAUGUCGCGGUGAAUGCGUUCCCGGGUCUU